rnacentral:rRNA from 1 species
GAUGAACGCUGGCGGCGUGCCUAAUACAUGCAAGUCGAGCGGACGGACGAGAAGCUUGCUUUUCUGAUGUUAGCGGCGGACGGGUGAGUAACACGUGGAUAACCUACCUAUAAGACUGGGAUAACUUCGGGAAACCGGAGCUAAUACCGGAUGAUAUUUUGAACCGCAUGGUUCAAAAGUGAAAGACGGUCUUGCUGUCACUUAUAGAUGGAUCCGCGCUGCAUUAGCUAGUUGGUAAGGUAACGGCUUACCAAGGCAACGAUGCAUAGCCGACCUGAGAGGGUGAUCGGCCACACUGGAACUGAGACACGGUCCAGACUCCUACGGGAGGCAGCAGUAGGGAAUCUUCCGCAAUGGGCGAAAGCCUGACGGAGCAACGCCGCGUGAGUGAUGAAGGUCUUCGGAUCGUAAAACUCUGUUAUUAGGGAAGAACAUAUGUGUAAGUAACUGUGCACAUCUUGACGGUACCUAAUCAGAAAGCCACGGCUAACUACGUG